rnacentral:lncRNA from 1 species
CUCCAUGCAAGUGUAUGCUUGAAGAGUUUAUCUUUAUCAUCAGGUUAGGUGUCUGUAUAUUUCUGUUGCCCCUUCAGUAGUCUCCAGUUUGUGCAGCAAGACCUGAAAUGAAAUCUGAAUGCUAGCAACAAAUUAAACCAUAAAAUAACCGUGUAACAUCCCUUUAACAUUGAAAUGAAAUCUUAACUAUUAUUGUGUAGUUAACAUAGCAUGCCCCAUAUGCACCUAUUCAAGUGAGUCUGGAGUCUGAGCUCACUGAUAUUGCUUACUGUAAGGGCAAAUUCUCUAGCUAUGCAUGUCUUGCAAGAAACUGCGGGUAUGGUAAUGUUAGUAGGUGUCUGUAUAUUUGUGUUGUCCCUUCGGUAGUCUCCAGUUUGUGCAGCAAGACCUGAAAUGGAAUCUGGAUGCUAGCAACAAAUUGAACCAUAAAAUAACUGUGUAACAUCACUUCAACGUUGAAAUUAAAUCUUAACUAUUAGUAUUGUAUAGUUAACAUAGCAUGCCCCAUCAUGCACACUGACUGUCUUAACUACUCAAGUGAAGCAAUCUGGAGUAUGUACUAUGAUCUCACUGAUAUAGCUUGCCGCAAGUGCCAAUUCCCUAGCUAUGCAUGUCUUACAUGAAAAUGCAGGUAUGGUAAUGUUAGUAUGGCCACAUGUCUGUCAUAUUCGUGCAUCGCUUUUAACAUAUUCCUGUCAAAUUCCUUUCUGAAGGAAGCACAGUAUUGUUCAACAGGUGCACAAGUAGCUCGAUACUGAAGUGCAUUAAACUCUUUAAAACGGAAGGGAGGGAGUAUAACAUACCUUAAACGACCUGAUAAAUACUGACUGCAUUCAGAAAUAUGGAGUGGUUCAGUGUAUUAAAAAAUAUUUAACUGACUUUGGACCUCCCUGCGACUGGUGUUGUACAUAUGGGUGGAUUUGAUCAUAUCCCCUAAAGGUGGUUGACCAUUGCUCAUUUUUCAAAGUUGGAUAUCAG